CCCAUAGUUUCAUGAAACUUUCCUACUCCACUAUUCUGCCAACACUGUUUUUCUAUCACUUUCUCUUCAGUCCCUCUCUAUAAAAUUCCAGUACUCAUCCUCCAACCCCACUUUGGCCCUUUCUAUAGAGAUCAAAACAACAAACAUCAUGGUAGGACAUUUGAUAACAACCAAACCAAGUCGAAGCGACGAGGUCUUAGAUGCCUAUGAACAAAUCAGAAUCACAAAUCAAAUCAAAGCUCAAUUCGACGCUUUAACACCUAAACGACCCAUCAAACCCAACCGAAGCGAACCCGAAACACAAGACCCCGUCAACUUGUCCACUCUCUCUUCACACAACAUACCAGAGCUUGAAAAGCUUCAAUCUCUUCAAUCUAACUCUCAAGGUUUUUCUUCCUCGCAGGGAGUAGUGGAUGGACAAGAUGAAUUUGUGGAAACUCAGUAUUACAAGGAGUUGUUGUCGAUUAACAAACAGCAUCAUGCGACAGGAAGUGGGUUUAUAAAAGCGGUUAGAGAAGGAGGUGAAAGUGGAUAUGAGAUUCAGUUACCUGUAAGCCAUGUUGAUGUUGGUGAAACACAAAUUAGAGGCUAUAAAAGUAACCCUGCCACAAAUGACUGGGUUCCCAACCUUGAUCAACAACAUCAUCAGGAUUUCAUCUCGUUGAAGCCGAACAGGAGCGAGAGCUCCUAGAUCUGUCUAGCUCUGUUUGGUGUUUGGUGUUUGGUUGUUGGAGAUGGUCACAGUUGUAAUUUGUCUUCUUCAACCUCUUUUUCUACAUGACUAGGCCGUUGGAGAAAAUAAUGGACAUCAACGACACCAAGGAGUUAUGGAAGGUGGCGGUCAGAGUAGCCCAUAAAUGGAAUGUAGUUUCCAACAAUAAGGAACACUUUGAGAUGAUAUUUUUCGACAAAGAGGGGUGUGAUAUUCACGUAGUUAUUCCAACUACGUACAUGGCCGCGUACCAUGAGAAGUUUGAAGGGGACCAGACGUACACCGUCUCCAACUUUGCAGUGCAGCCAAAUAACUUAGUUUUCAAACCAAACACCCACAAGUUCUUGGUGAAAUUCACUGGAGGAACUUCUAUGAAUGAUGUUAACAAACACGACAUACCCCUCAAACAACGCACCUUCACCAGUUUCCCUGAUAUUAUGACCGACAACUUUCAGAAGGAUGUGCUGAUCGGUUAGACUACAUUGCGUUAUGUUUUUAUUUUCGCGUUUUAUAGUCAUUCAUUGUCCUAUGUUAUUCGUUUUCAUCCUUCCCUUAGACAUUAUUGGCAUGGUCAAUACUAGUUGGAUUGUAGGUAUGUCUCCCCAAGUGAAGCGUGUUGGAGAAUUUAUUCUUACAAAAUUCAUGACAGGAAACUGGCGGUGGAACGAAUGUAUUAUCAUUUAGUAGGUGAACAAAAGGUUUACUACCCCGAUCACGCAAGAAUGGAAGAUAUAUUGGAAAAGCAAGCGUCAUAGAGUCAAUGUUCACGGCUUGGUUGGUUGCUAAUGGGAAGUACGAAGACGCACGAGAACUCACCUAUGGCCAAUGUCUCUAAAUUUAUUUAUGAAAAAAAAACAGAACCUGGAAACUGCAGAAAAAGGGCUUCACCAUUGGCCGUUUGAUAUGAGUUUCCCCAACAAUAGAAGAAUUAUUUUACCUUCGAUUGAUGUUGACUGAGGUUAAGGGACCUUCUACUUAUGAAGAAAUUUGCAAAGUUGGCAACACAAUAUGAUACUUUUAGGGACCUUCUACUCAUACCAUUUCUGGCCAUAAUUCUCUCGGCAAUUGUAGUCAAAUUAUUUUCUACCGCCAUAUCUUGUCGAUAUUGAUCGACAAUUUGAUCAGCGUCUUGUUGCCGACCAACUAAUACCACUGGUUGGCGUCCCAACCCGACACCUUGGUUCUGUUGAGGUCUAGGAAUUUGCUCUUGAUGUACUGUUUCCUCUUCUACCACGUCUAACUCUGCUUGAGCCAGUACAUUUUGUCUAUUUCUCUGAGGUACCUGUCGAAUAGGUAUUUGAGGUGCCCUAAGAAACUGCACAAACGAGUCAACUGAGUAACCACCUGCCUAUUUGAUUUAGUUGAUUCCUGCAUUAUAUGGUUAAAAA